rnacentral:lncRNA from 1 species
CACCUGCAAAUAGACCAGUGCAGGCAUUGAACAUCUGGGGCAAGACUAGCGUCUCCCAGCAGAUUAGUCUGCAUAUCAAGAACAACUAGACCUUAUAAAAGUCACAACAGAGCAGAGGGAUGGUCACCUGUAAAUGCACACUUUCUAGUAUUUUCUCAAAUUAGAGCAUCUGAGGGUAUCUUCAGAGAAAUCAAAUGCACCAAGACAAAAACGUAUGACCUGAAACUGGUCCCGAGGAAACAUCAGAUGGACCACGUUGAGCAUCACACUGCAGAAUGUAGGGCUGCAUUCUUCCAAACUGUUGGGACGAUGAAAGUCAGGGAAAGACUGAGGAAAUGCUCCAAACUGGGGCAGACUGCAAAGAUGUGACAAUUAAAUGCAAUGUGUAACUCGGGGUUUCUGC